GAGGGUAUAGCUCAAGUGGUAGAGCGCAUGCUUAGCAUUGCACAAGGUCCUGGGCUCAAUCCCCGGUACCUCCU
rnacentral:tRNA from 1 species